ensembl:lncRNA
GUCAAAGUGUGCUGUCACCGGGUCCGAACACCUAAAAGCACAGCGUGAACUCGGUUUCCAUCCAUACGUCCCUGUCAGGAGCAGGGCUGCACCCCUGCGUUCCACACUGCCCCAUCUGCUAGGCUCCUCAGCACCAGUCGUACCCCCCACCCGCGGGUGCUGCUAUUUUUAAUGGACGGUACUGUUGAGGGGCCAUUUUGUGGGCGACCCCUCCCCGGCGGACGUCCCAGGAAUGAAUCACUGUGUGCCACACGGGGAAAAUCAUGGGAAAAAUAAAUAGACGAAGCCAACACGGGGGGUGUCGGGGAUCGCCUGGAAGCACACGCUUAACCCGAUACCUGUCUGCACCGGAUAACUCCACCACAGGCCAGGGGGAUUCUUAAAAAGGACCGGCUGGGAGUCCUUGUGCCAGAUGAUGGCGGCCCGGGUGGUCUGUUAAGAGUCAUGUGGGAUAACAACACGCCGUUCAGAUCUACAAUGCAGGCACUCACAUCGGAGAGACAAAGGGCCAAAGCACUUUCUCCGUCGUGACUGAACACUGAGUCGUACAAAGAAUAUGCAGAACCGGAUUUUGAUGAACAUUUUGGCUGCUGACCAUGUAUUCGUCUGUGCUCAUGUUUCCCCCUUGACGUGUUUUAAAGUUAUGUAAGCAUUUCAGGAGGGUUCUCUUGCAUGACCAAAUGGGCUUCGUAAGAAAAACGUUUUAAAUCAAAAUGUAGGAUCUCCGUCACAUGUGUCUAUGAAUCUUUUCCAGCAUGAUCUCGCGAUAAAGCGAUACAAACGUGGAUUUGUGCUGUUAAGUAAAAAUGUGUAUAUAGUCGUACAUUCUUUUUGAAAAGUGAUGGAUGUUUUGACCAUGGUGUGACGGGCAUGGGUUAUUUAUAGUUGUGUGAAAUCAUGCGUUAUGAUACAGUUCUUCCAAGACCUUGAUGAAAGGUCACACCUGGAGGCAGCACACACACACUCAAAUAUGUUCCAUUGUUACAUAUGCAAGUGGCAUGGUUAUUUAUUUCCCUCCUCUUUUUUUCAUGUUUCCAUAUUUUUGAUAACGUGUCGUGUCAUGUUUUACAAUGCACUUUUACUGAAGUAAAAACAGGACAUAUUUACAAAUGAGAUGUUAUAUAUCGAAAUGUUAAUGUUGCUAA